rnacentral:snRNA from 1 species
GAGUGUUACUGCUCUUUUAGAAUUUGUCUAACAGGUUUUCCAGUACUCAACAGAAACCAAU